AUCGUAUGUUUUCUGCUCUUGUAAAAACAAGUUUAUUUUUUAAGAAAAGGAAUAUUUCUUCAAAGAGAUGAAGACUAACGGUCCUGCGGACUCAAUUAGUCAUUCUUUCGGGGGAAUCCUCGAGGCACGCGACUGUUUCGGCUCGCGGGCGAGAAUACACACGACGGGUUUAGUGAAGAGGGUGGAGGAGGAGGGAAAGGACCAGAGACACACCUCGUCCGUCUCGGGAAAAAAUGCGAGAGGCACUGUUUGUCCUGCGUCACACUUCCGCUCGGCAAUGUCAAGUUUCGACUUCCGGCGCGAGAGCACGCGACGGCUCUCUUUCUUUGGCAAAGGCCUCACGCGACUUCCGCUAUAUCUCGACAGUGAUGAUCUCGCAAACUUCGAAGUCGUGAACGUUAAAUCAAAUCGUAAUACGACGGUGAUGAGUGACGUAAAUGGUGAUGGUGAAUAAGAAAAAGGUUGAUUAUUUCUUGGCAAACUUAAAUAAAGUAAUUAAGGAAGUAUUUACUACGCAAUGAUAAUUUUACGUGCAUCAUUAGAAUUUAGAAUUAAUAAAUGUGUCUAUUUUAACUCUUUAAUAUACUUGAAUGUUAAAGAAUACGAUGUCACGAGCUAUAUAGCCGUUAUUUCAGAAAACGUGAAAAGUGAAGAGAAUCUAAUGUAUCUGUUAAGAUUGCAUUUCAUAAUUAAUCGACAAAUAUAAAUAAAUCGUCAAAAAUUGUUUCAGACUGUUUGAUCUUAAACAAAAU